UCUUUUCUUUUGAUAAGAGAGUUUUUAAAACCAGUGUUAUUUUUGUAAGUUUAAGAGAAGUUUGUGUAUUGAAUUUUUUAUUUUUAAUAUUAAAGAGCUUUGUUAAACUUAGACUUAAGUUUAGGUCAUUUUGGGGGUUUAGCUCAGUUGGCUAGAGCAUCGGCUUUGCAAGCCGAGGGUCAAGGGUUCGAGUCCCUUAACCUCCAUUGGGCUUAUGUCCUAAAUUGUAAUUAAGUAUGUUUUUAAGCAACUUUAUUAAAGUAAUUGUUGGAAUGUGAAACAGAGGAAGUUAAAAUUUCUGGGUUAAGUUGAGAUCUGUUGAUAUUAAGAAGAAUCUCCAGAAGCAAAAGCAAGCUUUCGAUAAAACCCGAAGUUGUUUCGCUAAAGUGCAAGGAUUAAACAGGAUUGUAUUUUCCAGCAGCCUAUUUUAUAAACGAUCUGCAUUUAGUAAAUAGUUUUUAGUUAGGAAAUAAUGUAGAUUGCUAAGUGUGAUGUC
rnacentral:misc_RNA from 1 species